CCCUUGUAUUGACAUCUUACAAAAUGACAGUGCAGUGAUUGAAAGCACUGAUGGAAUAUUCAUUUGAAUUUGACCAGUUCUUUCUGUUUCAGGAUCCAUCCCAGAAUCCCACACUGAACUUAUUCAUCCAGAAUCUUGGAUUCUGAACCGCAGAUUCAACCAACUACGGACAGUCAAAGUCAAGAAAUGGGAAGCUCUUCAGUUAUAUGCUCAAUGAAAACUUCAUGCCACUGGCACACAAGCUUUCCCUCCAAGUCGAGCUGAUCCUGGCACGGAACCUGGCUUCAUGAGACACAAAUGCCAGUUUUCUUUCCAGAGCUGAUGCCUUGAGGGUACCCGGAUUUUCACUGGAAGAGAGUACCAUAGCCCAAAAAAGCAAGGAGCCAUCAGGUUGCCAGAAAAUGCAUGGCACUCUGUGCCAGGCCCGAAGCCGCAGCCACCACAGGACGGGAGGAGAACUCCACUCAUGUCAGAUGGAUAAGCCCAGAAGAGUGGAGCACAACCUGGCUAUUUUCUGCCAAACAAUUUAUUAAGAAAGCAUGUCUUUGGACCUAGAUGCUGGGAAUGCAGAGACAGAAGAUCUUGUCACUGAUCUCAGGAAGCUCACAGGCAGACAAGCAGUGAUCUGAAUGUCCUACAGGUAGAUGUGUGUGUAGGGUGAGGGGGUGGCUAUGAUGGUAUCAAGGGUGGGGGGUAUUCUGCGUAAGGAUAAGGGAACUCAGAAAAGUUUCCAGGAAAUAUGAGGAUUAAGUUGUUGCU
rnacentral:lncRNA from 1 species